GAUUAAGAACGCAGCGAAAUGCGAUAAGUAAUGUGAAUUGCAGAAUUCAGUGAAUCAUCGAGUCUUUGAACGCACAUUGCGCCCCCUGGUAUUCCGGGGGGCAUGCCUGUCCGAGCGUCAUUGCUGCCCUCAAGCACGGCUUGUGUGUUGGGCCCCCGUCCCCGGUUUCCCCCGGGGACGGGCCCGAAAGGCAGCGGCGGCACCGCGUCCGGUCCUCGAGCGUAUGGGGCUUUGUCACCCGCUCUGUAGGCCCGGCCGGCGCCAGCCGACACCCAACUUUAUUUCUAAGGUUGACCUCGGAUCAGGUAGGGAUACCCGCUGAACUUAAGCAUAUCAAUAAGCGGAGGA
rnacentral:misc_RNA from 1 species